rnacentral:rRNA from 1 species
UAGGGAAUCUACCGCAAUGGACGCAAGUCUGACGGAGCAACGCCGCGUGAGUGAAGAAGGAUUUCGGUUCGUAAAACUCUGUUGUUAGAGAAGAACAGCGCAUAGAGUAACUGUUAUGCGUGUGACGGUAUCUAACCAGAAAGCCACGGCUAACUACGUGCCAGCAGCCGCGGUAAUACGUAGGUGGCAAGCGUUGUCCGGAUUUAUUGGGCGUAAAGCGAGCGCAGGCGGUCAAUUAAGUCUGAUGUGAAAGCCCCCGGCUCAACCGGGGAGGGUCAUUGGAAACUGGUUGACUUGAGUGCAGAAGAGGAGAGUGGAAUUCCAUGUGUAGCGGUGAAAUGCGUAGAUAUAUGGAGGAACACCAGUGGCGAAGGCGACUCUCUGGUCUGUAACUGACGCUGAGGUUCGAAAGCGUGGGUAGCAAACAGG